rnacentral:sRNA from 1 species
GUUUUUGUAAUCCGAAAAUUAAUUAGGGCUCAAACGAGCCAAACCUGAGAAAUGUUGUUUACAAAUUUAAUAUAAAGCGGUUGGGUACGAACUCAUAUUUCCAGUUUUAGUUAUUAAAUUUUUUAAGUCAAUAAAAAAUAUUUGUCGUAUGUCUAUUUUAG